GACGAACGCUGGCGGCAGGCUUAACACAUGCAAGUCGAGCGCCCCGCAAGGGGAGCGGCAGACGGGUGAGUACCGCGUGGGAACGUACCUUUUGGUUCGGAACAACUCCGGGAAACUGGAGCUAAUACCGGAUAAGCCCUAACGGGGAAAGAUUUAUCGCCGAAAGAUCGGCCCGCGUCUGAUUAGCUAGUUGGUGAGGUAACGGCUCACCAAGGCGACGAUCAGUAGCUGGUCUGAGAGGAUGAUCAGCCACACUGGGACUGAGACACGGCCCAGACUCCUACGGGAGGCAGCAGUGGGGAAUAUUGGACAAUGGGCGCAAGCCUGAUCCAGCCAUGCCGCGUGAGUGAUGAAGGCCUUAGGGUUGUAAAGCUCUUUUGUCCGGGAAGAUAAUGACUGUACCGGAAGAAUAAGCCCCGGCUAACUUCGUG
rnacentral:rRNA from 1 species